CCUUCCUGUUGCAAGAAGAGUGAAACCUCUUCAAGUUAUGUUAAGGACAGUGACUGAAACCUCAAGUUCGGAUUUUAGCAUUUACAUAUUUUUAUAAUGUUCUUUUGCUAUUUUUAAACUUAAUUUGGCUUGGAGAAAUGAGAGAAAUGAUCUUUAAUGAGAGGUGACUUUUUCUCAAAAAUUGACGUUCCAUGUCAGCCCUCCAUAGGACACAGUGACUCUCACAGCUGCUGUAGGAACUUUUGAUUUGUUUCAGAAUCCAGAAUAAGAGUAUUUUUUAAUUUAUAAUUGUUUCCUAUAACCUUGUGACUUAAAUUAUUGAUAACAGAAAGAAAAAAAUCAACAUUUGUAGAACAUGUUUUAUGAAGAAGUAUAUUACUUAGGACAUACUAAGAUAAGAUACUGUCAAAAGUUUACCCUCAGCCUUAAUGCCUUCACAAAACAAAGAUCUGUUCCCACCAGGCACUGGCAGAGGUCCUGUCCCACGUCAUUGCUCUGGGAUCCCAGAUGACUGAAAUGUUAUCAUCUGCAACCUGACCAUUUAGAACAUAUAGUCUCCUUGGUCCUUGCAUCAGGGGAGGGAAAUAUGAAAAAUUGCACCCUGGCUCUUGUUCAUCAGCUUUAACAUAUUAACCAGAACUAGUAACUUACUUGCCAGGAGGGAUCUGAGCAGUGGUUUUCAGGAAAAGGAGGAAGACCAGCUACUGCACUAGUAAGGUUUAAUGUGCCAAGACAUCUGGACAAUGUGCUUCAUCUUCUCACUCUCCACAAAAACUUCAGUGACGGUAAUGAAGCCCAGCAAUCAAGUAGUUUCCUGGACUCCACAUGACUGAUGAACUCACAGCUGCUGCGACGCUCUCAAGAGGCCUACAAGUCGACUUAGUCCAAAGGAAUGACUGCUAUUUUUGCUCUUUCCCUCACAUUAUUUCCCAAGGCUUGAGGGAAUUUAAAUGUGACUUACUUGGCAGUGACAAGUCUCUGUCCCCUUGGUGCCUCCCGAAAGCGAUCAUUUACACAAGUCACUUCACCAUAGCUCAUUCUAUUUCUUCAUAGAGAGAUAGUAUCACUUAAAUGGAAUCUGGAUAUUGAGAAAGGAUAUUUUUUCUCCUUAAAAUGACUAUAUUAGAAAAAUUCACUGAUAUCUGGAUAUUGGUAUGAUUGGUCCUUAACAUCCAUGCAUAAGCAGAAUCUUCCAAAAGUUCAUGAAAAUGCAUAUAAUAGAAAAACUGCACAAAUUUUAAAAAAUUUUUACAGAAUAAAAUUAUUUCUCCCUUCCUUCCCCCCACCCCAACAUUCUGUUUGACAUACCCUCAUAUGUCAAGACACCAACCUUUGAAAAAGGAACUUAGUAUUGGAAAUGAAGAACUUGAUACUCUUGAGAAGAAAACGUCUGGAAUCACCAGCAUUUGAAUGCAGCUCUUUGCUGCCUUGGUUCAGAAUGCAGUCCCUUCCCUCCCUGUGCCACUCAAGAUCCUCUGCGUUAAUGAAUGAAACCAAAAGCAACAACACAUCUUAUACAUUACUGUAUUUUAUUGUGUAAUACAAUGUUGAAACAAGCUAUUGUAUU